GACGAACGCUGGCGGCGUGCCUAAUACAUGCAAGUUGAGCGCUGAAGGUUGGUCCUUGUACCAACUGGAUGAGCAGCGAACGGGUGAGUAACGCGUGGGGAAUCUGCCUUUGAGCGGGGGACAACAUUUGGAAACGAAUGCUAAUACCGCAUAAAAACUUUAAACACAAGUUUUAAGUUUGAAAGAUGCAAUUGCAUCACUCAAAGAUGAUCCCGCGUUGUAUUAGCUAGUUGGUGAGGUAAAGGCUCACCAAGGCGAUGAUACAUAGCCGACCUGAGAGGGUGAUCGGCCACAUUGGGACUGAGACACGGCCCAAACUCCUACGGGAGGCAGCAGUAGGGAAUCGUAGGCAAUGGACGAAAGUCUGACCGAGCAACGCCGCGUGAGUGAAGAAGGUUUUCGGAUCGUAAAACUCUGUUGGUAGAGAAGAACGGUGGUGAGAGUGGAAAGCUCAUCAAGUGACGGUAACUACCCAGAAAGGGACGGCUAACUACGUG
rnacentral:rRNA from 1 species